rnacentral:misc_RNA from 1 species
AACAAUGUUUACAAAUUUUCUUUGCGGUAUUUGUGAGAAAAUAAUCGUGCUCCGUAAUUUUUUAAUUUUUGACCAAAAGAAACAUUACAAAAUGGUGAAACAUUGUAUUGUGCGUGGAUGUAAAAGAGAUUUAGCAUCUGAUCGCUAAAAUAGAAUGAAUUACUGAAAAACAAUUUGCGUCAAUCAUCUUUAUUCAAAGUACCAAACUACCAAAGAAUAACGUAUUGAGGGAAAAUGGGUAAAAGCUUUAUCACAACAAUUGACUCCAAAUCAGUUUGUGUGAGAAGCACUUUCGCGAAGAAGAUAUUAAGAAAAUUGAUCGAUUGAUUAUUAAUGGAGCUGAAAUUAUCAUCCCUCGCGAAAGGUGGACUCUUUUGAAUGACAAUGUCAUUCCAAUAAACCCUCACGAUUUGGAAAAGGACAUUUCUGAAGAGCAAGUUCCAAUAGUGCAAAAUGACAUUAAUAACUGACCAAUCGAAAACCUGGAUUAUACACAACCCUUGUUAAAAAUCGUUCAAGGUAACAAUUUAAAAGAAGAUUCUCAACCAGCAGGACCCCAUCAUAUGGAAUCACCAGAGAUUGUAACAGCUAAUAAUGUAAAAGACUUAGAUAUUGUUAUGUUUAUCAUAUUGUUAUAGAUUUGCGAGAUUUUAAUAUUUUCUUGUACAUCAAUUUCAACAUUAGGUCAUUAUCUCGAACAUGUCUCCACCAUCAUGUGUUACACUAGAAGAGAUCCAUGCUCAUUUUCACUCAAUACUGAUCCAAGGAUGGUGUUAUUUUGCUUGUGAUGAAGAGUUGAUAUUAUAUAAGAUAUGAAUUUUACUAUUUCCAAUAAUCUUUCAGUGAAGGUAAAUAAUUUUCUCAUGCUUUUUUGAAUAAUUUUAUCUAUUCAUAAUG